UCCAUCAUGUCACCUUCCUUCAUAGGAGAAUCUGACUUUUUUUCAGGCAUUGCCCUCUCUCUCAUUCAGCUCAUGUGACUCAGGGGAAACACAGCUCCAUGGGUGGGCCCCUUCACACUAAAAAUAAUCCUAACCCCCCUUGUCCAUGAUUGGUUCAAGAGGUGCAUGUGAUUUUGUUCAGGCCAGUAGAAUGAGGCAUGGUUUUCUGGGGCUGCUUGAUCUGGUUUCCUUGGUCAUGACAAAGCUCUGGGAAGAGUCUUAAGGGAUGAGAUUGCUGCAGCCACUUUACCUUCUUCGGGAAGCUGAAGCUCCUACACAGAUGAAGGAAGGGAGCACCCAUUAUAUUCCCAAUGCUGGAUAUUCAAAGACAAAAGAAGCAGGCCCUGCCCAUAGUGAGCUUUUCGUGGAGUUGGGGAGAUCAUCUACAAGGCACAUGGAGCAUUCAGGACAGUAUCGCAUGCUGUGCCCAGCAGUGGAGAUGGAAUCUUGCUCUGUUGCCAGGCUGGAGUGCAGUGGUGCAAUCUCAGCUCACUGCAACCUCUGCCUCCUGGGUUCAAGCAAUUCUCCUGCCUCAGCCUCCUGAGUAGCUGGGACUACAGGUGCGUGCCACCAUACCCAGCUAUUUUUUUGUAUUUUUAGUAGAGAUAGGGUUUCACUAUGUUGGCCAGGAUGGUCUCGAUCUCUUGCCGUCGUGAUCUGCCCACCUCAGCCUCCCAAAGUGCUGUGAUUACAGGUGUGAGCCACCAUGCCCAGCCAGCAUGAACAUUUUCUAACCCUUCGCUGACCACUGUGAGUUGGGCAGAGCUCCAACAGAUUGGAGAAUGUGAAUAUCCUGAAGGCAUGAAUAUCCUCCAGCAACUAGAACAGUGGCCAGCACAAGUGCUCAAAAAUGAAGGAAAGACUGAAUGAAUGCAUGAUGGGCAAUGGAAAUUGAUAAGCAGUGCCACAGUCCAGUUCUGGGUGGGUCGCGAGGGGGCCCAGAGUGCAGAUGGAGAGAGAGUUUAUCGUUGAGGAGGGCAAUCCCCCUUCUGGCACUGUGAGCGGCAAGUGGACGUAAGUGUGGCUGCCCUUGGAGAAGGGCAGGCUCAGAAGUACCUAGGUGCUUUUUCAGAAG
rnacentral:lncRNA from 10 species